UUUAUUACCUGUAUGGCCACUGAAAUACGUUAUUUAUAGUGUGCAAUACAUGACCGAUCGGGCAUUGUUAAGAACCAAAAUUAAUUUUCAAAUGUGAUAAUUAAAAUAAAUUACGUGGUACAUUUGUAAAUUAAGGAUACACAUGAAAAAAGAGGGGAUGUUUUUGUUUUAUUCUCAGAAUCAACAAAAUUCCUUCAAAAAAAAAUUUGAUAAGGGUUUUGGCCCGCUUGAUCUCUCAAUGGAAGCAAACUACUAGUAUCGUUUUGCUUCAUUCUGGUACGAUUUAAAAAAAUAAUAAAAAAAAAAAAAUAUUUUGGAAAACACAAAUCCCCUUUUCACAAUAUGAACGCUCGAUGAUUUAUUUUAUAAUGCAAAUUUGGGAUUUUGUUGUUCACUUGCCUAAUAACUUUUAGCAUUGUAUGAUUGGGUAGCAUUUGCAUUGUUUAAUGUCUCCCGAAAAGUCCACCAA
rnacentral:lncRNA from 1 species